UACGGGGGGAGCAAGCGUUGUUCGGAUUUACUGGGCGUAAAGGGCGCGUAGGCGGCCAGAUAAGUCCGCUGUGAAAUCUCGAGGCUCAACUUCGAGCUGUCGGUGGAAACUGUCUGGCUAGAGUCCGGAAGAGGAGAAUGGAAUUCCUGGUGUAGCGGUGAAAUGCGCAGAUAUCAGGAAGAACACCCGUGGCGAAGGCGGUUCUCUGGGACGGUACUGACGCUGAGACGCGAAAGCGUGGGGAGCGAACAGG
rnacentral:rRNA from 1 species